UUCCUCCCCGGCCGGAGCUGGCCCCGCUCAUUCUCUUUAGUGUUUGCCCUGUGUCCGCCGCCUCCCUCCGCUGCCGCGGUCGCCCCCCGGCCCCCCCCCGGGACCCGGCCCAUGGACUGAGCCGCCCGCUGGCCCGCACCACCAGCCGGCCCGGGAGCCGCAGCCCAGGCAGCCAGGCAUUCUCCAUCAUAAAUAUCCUAUUCAGAACUAAAUCCAAAUCUUCACUCUCUGGAUCUCCUAAAGGUCAGCAAUUUGGCUUCAUCACACUGAGUUUGCCUGCAUUCAAAGCUGUUUACCUACAGUAAUUUGCUCUGGUUGGAAGUAAACAUGUCUCAAGUUCAAAUUCAGAAUCCUUCUGCUGCCCUUGCAGGGAGCCAAAUAUUGAAUAAAACCCCAUCUCUUUCACAGCCUUUGAGUAUUCCUUCUACUACUAGUUCUUUGCCCUCUGAAAAUGCAGGUAGACCUAUCCAAAACUCUGCUUUACCCUCUGCGUCAGUUACAUCCACCAAUGCAGCUGCAGCUCCUUCAAACAUGGCAAACCCCAAAGAGAAAACCCCAAUGUGUCUUGUGAAUGAGUUAGCCCGUUUCAACAAGAUUCAGCCUGAGUAUAAGCUUUUGAGUGAGCAAGGUCCAGCUCAUUCUAAGGUGUUUACAGUGCAACUGACUCUUGGGGACCAGCACUGGGAAGCUGAAGGAACUAGUAUUAAAAAAGCUCAACAUGCGGCAGCUGCCAAAGCUUUAGAAGGGACAAAAUUCCCUAAGCCUACAGCUCGUCCAUCUCGUAGUGAAGGCAAGAAUCCAGACAGCGUAACCCCCACAGUGGAGUUGAAUGCACUUUGCAUGAAGCUGGGAAAGAAACCUAUGUACAAACCUAUCGACCCUUAUACAGGGAUGAGAUCCACUUACAACUAUACUAUGAGAGGUGGUACUUAUCCUCCACGGUACUUUUACCCAUUUCCUGUUGGGCCCUUACUUUAUCAAGUUGAGCUUUCAAUUGGAGGGCAGCAGUUUCAUGGGAAAGGAAGAACAAGACAAGCUGCUAAGCAUGAUGCAGCUGCUAAAGCACUGAAAGUACUGCAGAAUGAGCCCUUGCCUGAGAAACCAGAGGUUAACGGAAAAGAACCAGAUGAUGAAAAUCUCAAUAAAUCUGAAAUAAGCCAAGUUUUUGAGAUUGCACUUAAAAGGAACUUGCCUGUGAAUUUUGAGUUUUUCCCUCUGAAACAGGUGACCAAGGAAAGUGGUCCUCCCCAUAUGAAGAGCUUUGUAACUAAGGUGUCAGUUGGAGAAUUCAUGGGUGAAGGUGAAGGAAAGAGCAAGAAGAUCUCAAAGAAAAAUGCUGCAAUAGCAGUCCUAGAAGAACUGAAAAAAUUGCCACCUCUUCCUACGGUUGAGAAAAUGAAGCCACGAAUCAAAAAGAAAACAAAAUCAAUAGUGAAGCUGCAGACAAGUCCAGAGUAUGGUCAAGGAAUGAAUCCCAUUAGCAGACUUGCCCAGAUACAGCAGGCCAAGAAAGAGAAGGAACCAGAGUACAUGCUCAUCACAGAACGUGGUCUUCCAAGGCGCAGGGAGUUUGUUAUGCAGGUGAAAGUUGGUGUACACACAGCUGAAGGAAUGGGCACGAACAAAAAAGUUGCUAAACGCAAUGCAGCUGAAAAUAUGUUGGAACUUUUAGGUUUCAAAGUCCCUCAACCUCAACCUCCAAAGCCAGCAUUAAAGACAGAAGAGAAGACACCAGUGAAGAAACCAGGUGAUGGAAGAAAAGUAACCUUCUUUGAGCCAGGCUCUGAAGAGACUUCAACUAGUAAUAAAGAAGAUGAAUUUAGGAUGCCUUAUCUCAGCCAUCAGCAGCUUCCUGCUGGAAUUCUUCCCAUGGUCCCUGAGGUUGCACAAGCUGUAGGAGCCAACCAAGGACACCACACCAAAGAGUUCAAUAGGGCAGCCCCAAAUCCUGCCAAGGCUACAGUAACAGCAAUGAUUGCUAGAGAGCUAUUGUAUGGUGGUACUUCUCCUACUGCUGAGACCAUAUUAAAGAAUAACAACUCAUCAGGCCAUGUACCCCACGGACCACUUACUAGGCCCUCUGAGCAGCUGGACUAUCUUUCCAAUGUUCAAGGAAUCCAGGUUGAAUAUAAAGACUUUCCAAAAAAUAACAAGAACGAGUUUGUAUCUCUUAUAAACUGUUCCUCUCAGCCACCACUGAUCAGCCAUGGAAUUGGAAAGGAUGUAGAAUCUUGCCAUGAUAUGGCUGCAUUGAAUAUUUUAAAGUUGCUGUCUGAGUUGGACCAACAAACCACAGAGAUGCCAAGAACAGGAAAUGGACCAAUGUCUGUGUGAGUGUGACCCAUUGACUUUCCCUUGCAUUAAUGGAAACCUCUAACCCUAUGAUGUUGUUUAAACAAAUAAAAUGUGAGGGUUUUUUUCUUUGCCAGAAAAGUUAAAAUGCCAAGGGCUGUUGGCUUCUUCAGAAGGAUGAGAGGAUGUGUGAAACAAGAAAUGGAAAGUGACCCUCUUCUCAAACCGGCUAACUCAAACACUUUGGGACAAACACUGGACAGCACUGCCUAAAAAAGGCUUUUGACUGGACCCAAACCUGAAAGCACCAGAGAAAAUCAAAUGCUUCCUAUUAAUGUAACCUAACUGUUUUAGAGUGCUACAGUCUUUACAACCUACUGUAGUGUCUAAAUCAUAACCGUUGCUUUUUCUUCAAACAGUGAUAAAUUUUUAGUUUCAUUAUGUUGUUUUGAUUGAAAUGACACUAUAAAUUUUUCAUUUAAAAGUUUCUUAAUUGUAUCUAGAACAAUAGCACAGUUUAGAAACUUUGUCUUCUGAGACUGACAUGUUAUCUGUGAACUAACUUGGGAAGAUCAUAUCCAUGUAUGUGGUUAUUUUGUUUUUAUUGAAAUAGCAAAGUUUCACUGGAAACAAAUUGUGUGCCCACCAUUUUAAAAAGUCCAAUAUUUUCGCAAACCUAGCUUAAUUAUCCAACGGUUGAAUAAAUUAAAACACUUUAGGAAUUUUAAACUUUGUUUGAUCAUUUUUGGUUAAUUUCUAGUUUUCUUGAGCGGGGGGUAGGGGAACUUGAAUGCAACAUGACUUUAAAUGAUCUCUGAUCUAUGUUUUAAGGAUUGUGUGUAUAGAUGGCACACAGCUCACUACAUUACAGGAUAUGAUCUCAAUGUAGUGCAUAUAAAACCGCAGAUUGAUUUUCCUUGAGUGCUUUAUACUGUUUAAUUACAUCUCCAUGUAGGGCUGAAAAAAAUUACCUAUGUUUAUAUAUAAACUGUGUUGCUUUUGAUGUUGUGUUAUUGCGCACUGAACUGUGCGCAAUAAAGUUUUUUGCAUAUGGUCCAGGUAAAGCACGAUAGCCUUGCAAGUUAAGUACUGCUUCAGUUCAUUGUUUACGCUGGAAUUUUUUCUCCCCAUGGAAUGUAAGUAAAACGUAGUGUUUGUCACCAAUAAAUGGUAAUACUAAA